AAACAAAUCCGGCAAAUUCGCACACGCGUCGGCACGUUGUCCCAGGGUGCCUGCUUCUUAUUAGAUAAGAGGCUGGUUGGGGCAAUCGGACGUGUGGAGGACUAACC
rnacentral:sRNA from 1 species